UACGUAGGGGGCAAGGCGUUGUCCGGAUUCAUUGGGCGUAAAGAGCGUGUAGGCGGCCAGGUAGGUCGGUUGUGAAAACUGGAGGCUCAACCUUCAGACGUCGACCCAAACCCCCUGGCUAGAGUCCGGAAGAGGAGAGUGGAAUUCCUGGUGUAGCGGUGAAAUGCGCAGAUAUCAGGAAGAAUACCCGUGGCGAAGGCGGCUCUCUGGGACGGUACUGACGCUGAGACGCGAAAGCGUGGGGAGCGAACAGG
rnacentral:rRNA from 1 species